rnacentral:rRNA from 1 species
GACGAACUGUGCAAACGUUAUUCGGAAUCACUGGGCUUAAAGGGCGCGUAGGCGGCCUGAUAAGUAGGGGGUGAAAUCCUGCGGCUUAACCGCAGGGCUGCCUUCUAAACUGUCAGGCUUGAGCACAGUAGAGGCAGGUGGAAUUCCCGGUGUAGCGGUGGAAUGCGUAGAGAUCGGGAAGAACAUCAGUGGCGAAGGCGGCCUGCUGGGCUGUUGCUGACGCUGAGGCGCGACAGCGUGGGGAGCAAACAGG